AGUGCAAGAUGUUCAUAUUCCUAUAUUUUACGCUUGAUUCUAAGUUAUAACCAUGGCAGUUGAAAACCCUCAAAUCCAAACAUGAACUAUCGUGAUUCAACGUACGCGAUUCCAAACAACGUGUUGAUUCUGAGUUACCGUGGUUGUUUUUCGAUUAGUGUUUCAAUUGAAAAUUCUGAAUCGCCUUCAGAACUGAAAUCUACUACUCUAUCUUCAAAGCCUCUGACGAACCACAAACCGCCGCACCGUCACUAACCUGUCUCGAACCACCGCGGCCAGCGCCGCUGUUAUCGCAGUUACCACCACCGCUGUUAUCAAUUAUCAUGGUCCAUGACGUCUUGUUCUUGGAGGAAUGGCUAAAGAGCAGGUGUGGUGAUACAAACAAAUUCACCCCAAAAGCCUCUUCUGCUAGAGCCAUUGUUCAGGCGUGGUCUGAGCUCCGAGGCUCCCCUUCAUUUGGUCAACAUCACCUGCAACAUCUCAAAACCCUAGUUAAUUCCCAAACAUCCCUCCAUGUUGCACAACCCCAAGCAACACUUAUCCUUGCAAUUCUUCAAUCUUCCAACUUUUCUCUUCCAUAUCACUCGUUUCCUUUCUGAAAGCCCUGCCACUUUUUACUGCAUUCACAGUCUUGUUGAAAAAGCCAAUCAGCUCUGUUCUGAAGUCUCAACUCAUGAGGCUGAUGCAUGGAAGAAGCGGCAAGGAGAGCCAGAACCAAGCAAGAAGUUAAUGGACCUGCUUUUACACCUAGUUUUCCUUGUUGGCAUACAAGUCUUGCCCAACUUGAUGAAACUGUUGGCGCAGCUGAUUACUAAGUUACCACAAGAUGCACAGAACAUAGUUUUAAAUGAGUUGUAUUCACAAGUGGCUGAUUCUGAUGAUGUCAUCCGCAAACCAACAUUGGUUUCAUGGCUGCAGUCAUUAUCUUACGUUUGCACCAAUUCUACAAAUCAAAAUGCAGCCUCACAUAUAAGUAAAAGUGAAGAUAAUCUGUCUUCACCCAGUAUUGCUGACCCAUUAACCAGUGGAAGACUAACUGCACACCUAUAAGAGAUUCAGUUGUCUAUAGAAAUUAAGAAGGUAAUAUGCUAAUGAAGCAAAGGAACCAACAUUUGAUGAAGCUCAGGAUUUCAUUAACCGAACUUUGAAUGCCAUUGACUGGAGGUUGAUUAGUCUCAAAGUAGCUCCUGGCCAGCUGUGAGGAUGUCAAUCCCUUCCCAUCUCAUGGCCAUAAAGUGUCAUCCAAUGGCAACUUGUAGCUGUAUGGUACUUUUGUUUGAUGAUCAAAGGUUAUGGUGGCUGAUCUUUUCAAUAAAGAGAGCUCAUGUCAUCCUCCUUUUCAUCUAUCCAAGAAGAGCUUUUUUAAUGAACCUAGCUUUGGGAUAUGGAUGCGGUAUAUAGCCUGUGUUGGAGCAUAUCUGCUGUGUAGUUUUGCUAGCGACACUCUUUUAAUCACGCUUUUAAAACACACUCUUUGUAAUUGGUCAAAAGAAGUCAGCACACUUCCAUAAAUCAUGCUGAUCUUCCAUAAAUAAUGAAAUUCUUCUAUAGAUGUUUUGUGUAUCGAAUGAAAAGCCAGAUUCACAGUUAUAGUUAAGAUACUAUAUUAUUAUCA